ANACGCUGGCGGCAUGCCUACACAUGCAAGUCGAACGGGAUCCUGGUUUCGGCCAGGUGAGAGUGGCGGACGGGUGAGUAACGCGUGGGAACCUGCCCAAUGGUCUGGGAUAACCGCGGGAAACUGCGGCUAAUACCGGAUAAGCCCGAGAGGGGAAAGAUUUAUCGCCGAUGGAGGGGCCCGCGUCCGAUUAGGUAGUUGGUGAGGUAACGGCUCACCAAGCCGACGAUCGGUAGCUGGACUGAGAGGAUGAUCAGCCACACUGGGACUGAGAUACGGCCCAGACUCCUACGGGAGGCAGCAGUGGGGAAUAUUGGACAAUGGGGGCAACCCUGAUCCAGCAAUGCCGCGUGAGUGAUGAAGGCCUUAGGGUUGUAAAGCUCUUUUGGCGGGGACGAUGAUGACGGUACCCGCAGAAUAAGCCCCGGCUAACUUCGUG
rnacentral:rRNA from 1 species